rnacentral:rRNA from 1 species
UACGUAGGUGGCGAGCGUUGUCCGGAAUCACUGGGCGUAAAGGGCGCGUAGGUGGCAGUACAAGUCGCAUGUGAAGGACCAGGGCUUAACUCUGGGGGGUCAUGCGAAACUGUACGGCUUGAGUGCAGUAGAGGAAAGCGGAAUUCCUGGUGUAGCGGUAAAAUGCGUAGAGAUCAGGAGGAACACCGGUGGCGAAGGCGGCUUUCUGGGCUGCAACUGACGCUGAGGCGCGAAAGCGUGGGGAGCAAACAGG